UGAUCCUGGCUCAGAACGAACGCUGGCGGCAGGCUUAACACAUGCAAGUCGAACGCAUCCUUCGGGGUGAGUGGCAGACGGGUGAGUAACGCGUGGGAACGUGCCCUUCAGUUCGGAAUAACCCAGGGAAACUUGGGCUAAUACCGGAUACGUGCGAGAGCAGAAAGAUUUAUCGCUGAAGGAUCGGCCCGCGUCUGAUUAGCUAGUUGGUGAGGUAAUGGCUCACCAAGGCGACGAUCAGUAGCUGGUCUGAGAGGAUGAUCAGCCACAUUGGGACUGAGACACGGCCCAAACCCCUACUGGAGGCAGCAGUGGGGAAUUUUGGACAAUGGGCGCAAGCCUGAUCCAGCCAUGCCGCGUGUGUGAAGAAGGCCUUCAGGAUGUAAAGCACUUUCGGCCGGAACGAUAUCGCGCGAUCUAACAAGUCCCGUGGAUGACGGUACCUGGAAAAAAAAGCCCCGGCUAACUA
rnacentral:rRNA from 1 species